UUCAUCAACUAAAAUCGAUUUCGAUUUUAAAAAUCAAUUUUAAGGCCGAAUCAGUUUUAGCUUAAAACCGAUACAUGUGAGCUGUUUCAUCAAAUCGAUUUUAAGCUAAAAUAGAUUUUUAGGUGUCUGCAAUCAAGGCUAGUCAAUUUGGGGUAAAUCGAUCACAAAAUGGCCUUGCUUAACUACAGUGAGAGUCCUUGAAAAGUUGCAAAAUAAAGAGCUAUGGCAUCUGCAUGUACUGCUAGUUCAUGACAAAUGAACAUUUAUUGUCCAUCUCUUCAAAUUGAAAAGACUGCAGAGCCUGAAUUACCUGCAACGUUAGGCUUCUUAUGAAACAUCAGCCAGCCUACAGAUAGAAGCUUCCUUUUCCAGCUUUAAGCAAGAAGAACCACAAUGAGAUACAGAUCUUGGUAUCAUG